UGAACGCUAGCUACAGGCUUAACACAUGCAAGUCGAGGGGCAGCAUGGUCUUAGCUUGCUAAGGCCGAUGGCGACCGGCGCACGGGUGAGUAACACGUAUCCAACCUGCCGUCUACUCUUGGACAGCCUUCUGAAAGGAAGAUUAAUACAAGAUGGCAUCAUGAGUCCGCAUGUUCACAUGAUUAAAGGUAUUCCGGUAGACGAUGGGGAUGCGUUCCAUUAGAUAGUAGGCGGGGUAACGGCCCACCUAGUCUUCGAUGGAUAGGGGUUCUGAGAGGAAGGUCCCCCACAUUGGAACUGAGACACGGUCCAAACUCCUACGGGAGGCAGCAGUGAGGAAUAUUGGUCAAUGGGCGAGAGCCUGAACCAGCCAAGUAGCGUGAAGGAUGACUGCCCUAUGGGUUGUAAACUUCUUUUAUAAAGGAAUAAAGUCGGGUAUGGAUACCCGUUUGCAUGUACUUUAUGAAUAAGGAUCGGCUAACUCCGUGCCAGCAGCCGCGGUAAUACGGAGGAUCCGAGCGUUAUCCGGAUUUAUUGGGUUUAAAGGGAGCGUAGAUGGAUGUUUAAGUCAGUUGUGAAAGUUUGCGGCUCAACCGUAAAAUUGCAGUUGAUACUGGAUAUCUUGAGUGCAGUUGAGGCAGGCGGAAUUCGUGGUGUAGCGGUGAAAUGCUUAGAUAUCACGAAGAACUCCGAUUGCGAAGGCAGCCUGCUAAGCUGCAACUGACAUUGAGGCUCGAAAGUGUGGGUAUCAAACAGGAUUAGAUACCCUGGUAGUCCACACGGUAAACGAUGAAUACUCGCUGUUUGCGAUAUACAGCAAGCGGCCAAGCGAAAGCGUUAAGUAUUCCACCUGGGGAGUACGCCGGCAACGGUGAAACUCAAAGGAAUUGACGGGGGCCCGCACAAGCGGAGGAACAUGUGGUUUAAUUCGAUGAUACGCGAGGAACCUUACCCGGGCUUAAAUUGCAGAUGAAUUACGGUGAAAGCCGUAAGCCGCAAGGCAUCUGUGAAGGUGCUGCAUGGUUGUCGUCAGCUCGUGCCGUGAGGUGUCGGCUUAAGUGCCAUAACGAGCGCAACCCUUGUUGUCAGUUACUAACAGGUUCCGCUGAGGACUCUGACAAGACUGCCAUCGUAAGAUGUGAGGAAGGUGGGGAUGACGUCAAAUCAGCACGGCCCUUACGUCCGGGGCUACACACGUGUUACAAUGGGGGGUACAGAGGGCCGCUACCACGCGGGUGGAUGCCAAUCCCCAAAACCUCUCUCAGUUCGGACUGGAGUCUGCAACCCGACACCACGAAGCUGGAUUCGCUAGUAAUCGCGCAUCAGCCACGGCGCGGUGAAUACGUUCCCGGGCCUUGUACACACCGCCCGUCAAGCCAUGGGAGCCGGGGGUACCUGAAGUGCGUAACCGCGAGGAGCGCCCUAGGGUAAAACUGGCGACUGGGGCUAAGU
rnacentral:rRNA from 1 species